CCAAUAAACUUUUUUAAAAAUGUCAAUAGAUUUUUUACCAGCGUAGUGUAAAUAUGUUUCAUGAAAAAAAAAUAUUAAUUAACCUAAGUAGAAAAUAACUUUAAAUUAUUUUGCACAAUGUAAUAAGUGUUUCGCUGAUUCGAAGUGCUGUAUUGUCGUAGUUCAUUCACUAACCAGUUUCAGCGAUCGAAAUCACCAGGUUAAAGACUCUUAGAGGUCAUUAAACGAUGAAGAGUCCAAAGUAGAUGCGUGGGAGAGAGUAAGAGAAGUCGAUACGCACAGCGUCACACCCGACUAACGUCUGGAUAGAAUCUCGAUGUGUUUGAAAGGAUAUCUAAGCAUUCUCUAGGUCUUGAUAGAAAGCUAAACGGGUCUUGAGAAUGAUCUGCCAUCGUAUACUUGAGUCAAGGUCUGACGAUCCAACUACUGCUGCUUUACACAUCGACGCUUGUGUUCAACAGUACAAAAUACGGAAUCUGGGCUUACAUAGCUUAGUGAGAACGUGAUUGAGAAGCAACGAAUUAUCACACAUCAUGCUAAUGAUAAUAUCAAUCAUGUAAAACUAAAGAAGGAUUGAAAUACACAAGGGAAGUAACUUUAAUUUGAUUGAAUAUAUUCCUCCCAAGUUAAGUCUUUAUGUUUGAUUAAAUUGAAUUCAAUUCAAAUUCAACGCCUAGAAAUGAAUAGAAACCUCAGGGCUUUAGAAAUUCAUGUACAAUAUGUAAACUGGAUGUAAAAUUACCUUGAG